rnacentral:rRNA from 1 species
GACGAACGCUGGCGGCGUGCUUAACACAUGCAAGUCGAACGGAAAGGCCCUGCUUUUGUGGGGUGCUCGAGUGGCGAACGGGUGAGUAACACGUGAGUAACCUGCCCUUGACUUUGGGAUAACUUCAGGAAACUGGGGCUAAUACCGGAUAGGAGCUCCUGCUGCAGGGUGGGGGUUGGAAAUUUUCGGCGGGUGGGGAUGGACUCGCGGCUUAUCAGCUUGUUGGUGGGGUAGUGGCUUACCAAGGCUGUGACGGGUAGCCGGCCUGAGAGGGUGACCGGCCACAUUGCGACUGAGGUACGGCCCAGACUCCUACGGGAGGCAGAAGUGGCGAAUAUUGCACAAUGGGAGGAAGCCUGAGGCAGAAACGCCGCGUGCGGGAUGACGGCCUUCGGGUUGUAAACCGCUUUCGCCUGUGACGAAGCGUGAGUGACGGUAAUGGGUAAAGAAGCACCGGCUAACUACGUG